AUUGAACGCUGGCGGCAGGCCUAACACAUGCAAGUCGAACGGUAACAGGAAGAAGCUUGCUUCUUUGCUGACGAGUGGCGGACGGGUGAGUAAUGUCUGGGAAACUGCCUGAUGGAGGGGGAUAACUACUGGAAACGGUAGCUAAUACCGCAUAACGUCGCAAGACCAAAAAGGGGGACCUUCGGGCCUCUUGCCAUCGGAUGUGCCCAGAUGGGAUUAGCUAGUAGGUGGGGUAACGGCUCACCUAGGCGACGAUCCCUAGCUGGUCUGAGAGGAUGACCAGCCACACUGGAACUGAGACACGGCCCAGACUCCUACGGGAGGCAGCAGUGGGGAAUAUUGCACAAUGGGCGCAAGCCUGAUGCAGCCAUGCCGCGUGUAUGAAGAAGGCCUUCGGGUUGUAAAGUACUUUCAGCGGGGAGGAAGGGAGUAAAGUUAAUACCUUUGCUCAUUGACGUUACCCGCAGAAGAAGCACCGGCUAACUCCGUG
rnacentral:rRNA from 1 species